CCUACGGGUGGCAGCAGUGGGGAAUAUUGGACAAUGGGGGCAACCCUGAUCCAGCCAUGCCGCGUGUGUGAAGAAGGCCCUCGGGUUGUAAAGCACUUUCAGUGAGGAAGAACGCCUGGUGGUUAAUACCCAUCAGGAAAGACAUCACUCACAGAAGAAGCACCGGCUAACUCCGUGCCAGCAGCCGCGGUAAUACGGAGGGUGCGAGCGUUAAUCGGAAUUACUGGGCGUAAAGCGCGCGUAGGUGGCUUGAUAAGCCGGUUGUGAAAGCCCCGGGCUCAACCUGGGAACGGCAUCCGGAACUGUCAAGCUAGAGUGCAGGAGAGGAAGGUAGAAUUCCCGGUGUAGCGGUGAAAUGCGUAGAGAUCGGGAGGAAUACCAGUGGCGAAGGCGGCCUUCUGGACUGACACUGACACUGAGGUGCGAAAGCGUGGGUAGCAAACAGGAUUAGAUAUCCUGGUAGUC
rnacentral:rRNA from 1 species